AUUUAGAACUGUGCUGAAAGGGUAUGUGCAGUUUUGCCUUCUCAUUACUGUAAUGACAGUGUCUUUUUUUGAACCUACAUUCACAGUUACAUCCUAGAAGAUAUUGUUUCUCCUUCCUAGGACACCUCAACUCAAAGUGUAGGACCAAAAGUUGGUGUUAACAUCAUUUCUUUUGUUUGCCCAGGCCCAAAGACCCAGAGAUUUGCAAGACCAUGCAUCAAAUGAGAAUGUUAACACCCAUGUUACUACCCAGCUCUUAAUAAGCUAUGUAGAGUGUGUAUCCAUCUGAUAUCUUGAAGAACAAUAGAGCUUUGAGUCCCAGCUGGCCUCUGCUUAGUCACCGGUUGGAAGGUGAUAUAUAGUAACUAGAGUCAUCACUGCAGAAGCUACAAUUUUGACACAGGACUGGACAGUAUGUGAACAAGUUUCUUAGUGUGGGCAGGACUCAAACUGUAUAGGAUAGGUUGGUUUUGGGCAUAGGGACUUCUCUGUGACUGGCAGGUUGAUGAACAGUGCUCCUGGGCUAUGCCCAAGUGGGCCAUGCGCCUUUUCACAUAAUAGUUCUGACUACAAAAAGACAUCAUGUAGAUGUUUAUUUUUUUAUGCCCCGCCAAAAAAGAAAAAAAGAAAAAGAAAAAAAAUGGCCAUCAAGAGGUUGCUCACAGUACCCUGGACUCAGGGGUUAAAUCAUAAGAUGGAUUAGGCUUCAGAAUGGCAAAUGAUUUGCUACUAGGGUUUGAGUGUGUGUGUGUGUGUGUGUGUGUGUGUGUGUGUGUGUGUGUGUGUGUGUUAAGCUACUUGAUGUUCUUUAAACUGGACACUGGUUCUUUUGUUUUCCAAAAAUAUAGAUAUAUUUGUUUACCCAUUCAGGAAAUUCAUAUCACUGAUUUCCCUUGUUGCUUAUCUUAAGUUUCUGUAUUUUUAGUUUUUUUAAGUGAAGUAUUUUUAACUAAAUAAAUACAGAUGUUAUUUUAGACCACUACGCAAUCACACUCAAAAUUCAGAGAUAAGAAUGAGUCUGGGGAAAUGAAAGACAAGAUGACAUUGUCCGUCAUAAGCGACAAGAUCUGGGCAAAAUGAGAAUGAAAUUAGCUCUCCUGCACAUGUGAAAUGUUACACACAGACAUGUUCCUGAAGCAUGUGAGUCAAAAGUUUAUUGUUGUUGUCUUUUAACUUCCAACAUAUUCCAGAGUGAGGAACAGAGGUUACAACACCCAUCUAUUAUUUAUUAAUUUAUCUUUUCAUGGGAAAUAAUACUACAUUAUAUCUGUUACCUAAGUGACAGCCCAUUAAGUGCUCCUAGUUACCAGCCAGCACCAAAUCUGUGGGCCAAUGAGAAGGGGUGGCUGAUGGUUUCACAUCUGUUUUGGGUGAAAAAACUGUUUCUGUCUGCAGUACUGAAAAUUUAAAGAACUUCUGUUAUUAUACAAUUGGGAAUCCUCCGGGAGUAAAAUGUUAAUGAAAUCCAUAAUGUGCACAGAUUUUAUGAUAGCAGUUGUAGGAAAUUCCUUUGGUGAGGUUUGUUGAUUUCUGUCCCAGUGGUAAUAAUUGUACCUUUUACAGCGUGUGUUAAUGUCAGCAUUUAGGAGCAACGGCUACAUUUAUGCCACGUGUAAUGUAACACACCCAUUCUUAAGCUUUAAAUAACUUUCAUAUUGUACUUUAAAACCCCAGGGCAAAACCAAAUAUGUUCUUCAGAACAGGGAAGAACCCCUAUGUUGAAACUUCUAGCAUAUCCACAGAUACCUUCUCCAUUGAAAGAGGUCUGCAUCCUGGUAACCAGGCUUAGAUAUGGAUGGAGAUGAAAUACCUCUUGAUUACUUAAAAGCAUCACUUAAAAGCUCCACAUCAGCAUGAGAAUUUUGGUCAACAUCAAAAGAGUAGUUUGGGUUGCUUGACCUGAAAGGAGACUGAUGUUCGAGUGAAUGUAUGCAUACACAAGUACACUCAACCUCCAUGUACAAGCACACUCAAACAUAGGUGUACAAAAAACAUAUACAUGUGUGAGCAUAUAUAAACACAUAUGUGCACCCAAAUACCUGUGCCUGGAAGCAUGCACACACAAACAUACAUGCAUACAUUGGUUAUUUCCUUUCUUCACCCUUUCUCUCCCCUCCCUCAGUCAUCUAAUCUCAUUCAACGCUAGGUUCCAAUAAAGAGAGAAAAGUACAUUAAAUUUUAAAAUGCUUUGUAUAUCCCCAUAGUAAUAAAAUGCAUUAUGCUUUUGUAUUUCCAGCAGUUGACGAGAGUGGGCAUUUGAGACUAAUUUCACACAUUAUGACUAAGAAUAAUCACAUGUGCACUUGUGCAUGUGUCUUGUGCUUUAAUUUUUUCACCAGUUCUCUUUGCCUCAAGGGGUUAAAAAUGCAUUUAUGACAUUUUUCUAAUUGCCUCGUGUUGGGAGAACAAAGCCUUCGUUCCAUCCAGCAAAGUUUUAUUUUCCUUACAAUUCUUGUGCUUUAAACUUCUGACUACAAUUUAUGGAUCUAGCAUAGAGAAUAAACAAGCCCUUUCAUUCUUUUAGCAAGCCUGGGAGGGCUAUCGAUACUGUUCUUUGGGGGUUAGGUGAUUGGAUAAGACAGCUUCUCUGGGCCUUUUAGGCAUUUAAGAUUCCAUGAUUCUAUUAAAAAUAAAUGUACUUGAUCGCUAGUGCGCUGAGCUUGCCUGAGAUGAAAAUAUAAGUAUGUUGGAGCAUAGCUGGAACUCAUUUUAAACACUAUUGAUAAUGGCGUGAGGCAGCAUGCAGCUAAUUUUUUUUCCAUUAAGAAAGUUUUUUUUCCCCCACAGAUCAAGUAAUUGUUAGGGCUGCUUCGACCACAAAGCUCAUCUGAGAAGUUCAUGCUGAAACUCUGCUUGUGGUGGGUCUAUUUCCCUUGAUUUCUUCUGAGCUAGUUUGCAGGAACAUACAGACCAUGGGUGACAAAAUGAAAUCCAUACAUUUGCCCUUUAUGUGUCUCCAAUCCUGAAGGAAGUUUCUGUGAGGCCAGGGCUUAUCUACCAUUAUAGUCUGCUUCUACCUUAAAAUUUGACCAACACCCAGCCUCUGUAUCUCCUUAAACAAAAAUCAUGUUUGUUUCUGAGCAAACCACCUUCCUGACAAAGGACAUCUUGGCUGUCUCUAGACUUGAAGUGUUUACAUACUGUGAAAGCAGGUAAAUCCCACCUCAGACUAGAGAAAGACCAGACCCAGCUAGGCUCCUGCCUGCAGGAGCAAGGAUUUAAGCAAGGCCUUCAGUUUGGAAGGCUCUGGGAAUUAAAUACCAAGUUUCUACUGGGAAAUACUCAGAAUAAUGAAAAGAAGUGAGGAAAUCAUAAGAAAUAUGAAGUCGUGACGAAUCCUUUUGCUAUAUUAAGAAGUGAACGGAGCUUAUAGG
rnacentral:lncRNA from 1 species